UUGAAAGGGAAACGAUUGAAGUCAGUCGUGCUGGCGCGAAAUCAGCUCGACCACUCGGGGAUCACGAGCCGUAGCGAGCCUCAAAACCGCUACGACUCGUGAUUUCUUGGUGGCCUGGUGCACUUUCGUGUCGGCUGGUUAACAUCAAUUUCGAUCGUCAUAAAAAGGCUGGAGGGAUGUGGCUCCUUCGGGAGUGUUACAACCUUUAGCGGAAUGUGGUGGUCGGGAUUGAGGCUUGCAACGAAUACCUUCAGGGCUGUUCCACCUGGCCUCUCAUCGGAAUUCUGGCGGCGACAGCUUGCUGACGUUGUUAGGAUCGGCCUUCGAACAGGCUAGAGUGUGAGCAAAUUCGUUAAGGAUGUUGACGUA
rnacentral:rRNA from 1 species